GCACAGUGUCUUAGUGGUUAUGAUGUUUGGCUCACACCUCCAGGGUUAGGGGUUCAAUUCCCGAUGUGUGCA